CAAUUUGUUCGAUCAUGUGUAACCAACCAGUACCUACCUCAUUAUCGAAUUAAUGGAUAUUUUUACACCCAAGAGGCGUAGGGAAUGUUAUGUCCACACAUGUAGUACAUAUAUUUUUUAUAAACAUGUGCAUGUUGGUGGAGGAUGGCGUGAGAAUGACAUCAUUUUAACCACUCCCAUACCUUUUAAUCUACACUAGCCAGUCUCAGCCUAGCAGACGACACCCUCCACUUGUUUUCUCGAAGACUGGGGAGUGGGAUGCAGUAGUAUACAAUAUCCGUUUAAACAUCACCAGUUAGAUAUACAGUACAGUGAGUACGUCCUACGCUCUCGUCUGCACAUACACCGUUUUUAACAGUUCCAGCAACAACAAUGACUACCAACAACAAUAAUAGUACCAACAAUAACAGUACCAACAGUAAUAAUAGUACCAAGAAUAACAGUACCCGCAACAACAAUAGCAGUACCAAGAAUAACAGUAACAGUAUCAGCAAGACAGGCCCAAAAGAGAAGGACAAAUUAAUGUCCUGCUUGAGGUGGCGCAGGACGGAGGACAGAGUGCUCAAAAGCAGGACGUCUGGCCAGCCUACCGACGUUUGCCUAUGUUUGAACUGUGAGAACCACUCAAAAGUCUGGCUUCUGCCCAUGGUGUCAUCACCGAAUGUUUGUUUAAGCAUUUCGUGAGUCUCCGAAGCGGUUUUGCCGAGUUUGAAGCAAAAAUUGAUGCACACGCGUUGCUCCUUUAAGUCUGCCAAUUUGUCUUCUCACAAAAAUCGCUGAACACCUCUAAGACUAACGCACAAAAACGCUUGUGAAAAAAAGCGUGCAUGUAUCACCGUGUCACUCGGCACACUGCUUCACGAUAAAACUGUUGUGUGAUGUCUGCUAGGUCUUCGUAUGUGAGUGUGUGUGUAUAAAUAUUGUUCCAGUAUAGUGCUGCCCUCUUAUGGUCUGUAUGUGAAUGAGUUGUGAAUGAGAAAGUCUCAUGCUUCAUUGUACUAUAGUGAAUGAGACAGUUUCCAUUCCUUAUAUAUAUUGUAGUACUGUAGUUGACUUGUUUGUUAAAUAAUAUACAGUAGUCAUUCUGAAUCCUGCCGUCACCUGUACAAGUUCCUCAACAAAGCAAUUCUUCAAGUACC